AUGAAUUGUAUAUCUUGAAACUAUCCCGGGCUUGGGAACCCGGAGACAGUUCGUGAACUUCACGAUCUAGUGAAGAGGGAAGUUCCCGCCCUAGUCUUUGUUGCGGAAACGAAGAUUGAGGGAAGAAGGGUUAGUGAUCUCACUGCCCGACUUGGUUUUGAGGGUUGCUAUACUGUUAAUAGCGACGGCCUUAGUGGCGGACUAGCUUUGUUUUGGUCAAAAGAGGUUGAUGUAACUCUUAAUAAUUUCUCAAACUAG
rnacentral:rRNA from 1 species